UGAGAAGCUUCGACCAAGGUUCGACUUGAGCGCCAGCGAGAGAGCGUUGCCGCAGGCAACGACCCGAAGGGCGAAGCGCGCAGCGCUGAGUAAUCCUUCCCCCACCACCA
rnacentral:sRNA from 2 species